rnacentral:rRNA from 1 species
UAUUACAGAUACGGGCUCUGAGAGGAGAAGCCCGGAGAUGGGUACUGAGACACGGACCCAGGCCCUAUGGGGCGCAGCAGGCGAGAAAACUUUGCAAUGUGCGAAAGCACGACAAGGUUAAUCCGAGUGAUUCCUGCUAAAGGAAUCUUUUGUUAGUCAUAAUACCACUGAUGAAUAAGGGGUGGGCAAGUUCUGGUGUCAGCCGCCGCGGUAAAACCAGCACCUCAAGUGGUCAGGAUGAUUAUUGGGCCUAAAGCAUCCGUAGCCGGCUUUGUUAGUUUUCGGUUAAAUCUAUAUGCUCAACAUAUAGGCUGCCGGGAAUACUGCAUAGCUAGGGAGUGGGAGAGGUAGACGGUACUCCGUAGGAAGGGGUAAAAUCCUUUGAUCUAUGGAUGACCACCUGUGGCGAAGGCGGUCUACCAGAACACGUCCGACGGUGAGGGAUGAAAGCUGGGGGAGCAAACCGGAUUAGAUACCCGGGUAGUCCCAGCUGUAAACUAUGCAAACUCAGUGAUGCAUUGGCUUGUGGCCAGUGCAGUGCCGCAGGGAAGCCGUUAAGUUUGCCGCCUGGGAAGUACGUACGCAAGUAUGAAACUUAAAGGAAUUGGCGGGGGAGCACCACAAGGGGUGAAGCCUGCGGUUCAAUUGGAUUCAACGCCGGGAAGGGCG